UACGAAGGGGGCUAGCGUUGCUCGGAAUCACUGGGCGUAAAGCGCACGUAGGCGGCAUCUUAAGUCAGGGGUGAAAUCCUGGAGCUCAACUCCAGAACUGCCUUUGAUACUGAGGUGCUUGAGUCCGGGAGAGGUGAGUGGAACUGCGAGUGAGAGGUGAAAUUCGUAGAUAUUCGCAAGAACACCAGUGGCGAAGGCGGCU
rnacentral:rRNA from 1 species